rnacentral:rRNA from 1 species
AACGAACGCUGGCGGCAUGCCUAACACAUGCAAGUCGAACGAAACCUUCGGGUCUAGUGGCGCACGGGUGCGUAACGCGUGGGAACCUGCCCUUAGGUUCGGAAUAACUCCCCGAAAGGGGUGCUAAUACCGGAUAAUGUCUUCGGACCAAAGAUUUAUCGCCUUUGGAUGGGCCCGCGUUGGAUUAGCUAGUUGGUAGGGUAAAAGCCUACCAAGGCGACGAUCCAUAGCUGGUCUGAGAGGAUGAUCAGCCACACUGGGACUGAGACACGGCCCAGACUCCUACGGGAGGCAGCAGUGGGGAAUAUUGGACAAUGGGCGAAAGCCUGAUCCAGCAAUGCCGCGUGAGUGAUGAAGGCCUUAGGGUUGUAAAGCUCUUUUACCCGGGAUGAUAAUGACAGUACCGGGAGAAUAAGCUCCGGCUAACUCCAU